UGAGUGUGUGAUAUCCACUGAAUGGUUUGU
rnacentral:piRNA from 1 species